UCAUUCGACUUCUAUAUUAAACGAGUAAAGCAAGUAAGUUUUUCAUGAUCAUGGUAGAGGCUGCCUACUCUAAAUGUUUGAGUGAUUUGUUAAUCACAAACAAGCCUCAAUGUAAUUAAAUGUUUUCUUCCCAACUUUUAAUUCAAAUUCUAAAAGAUUUCAGUAAUCUGAUAUUAUUAUAGUUUUGCAUGGUGUAAAUUUGUUGAGUUUGAUAUACUUUCUCCACAGACGUGGGAGUGCAGAGUGCAAGACAUCAGCGUCAUUGAGGUCUCUCUUACAGAAGCAUUACAGAUGUGCAGAAUUUCACACGCAUUGUGCAACUGAAGUCCAAGUUUAUGCCAGAACUUGACAUCUGCUCCAGGCUGUCUGCUGAGUGCCAUAGGAAGGGAGGAGAAACAAGACAUAAGAUUAAGGAGAUCAUGGCUGCCAUUGAUCGGAAUCCCAUCAUUGGCUCGUUGAGAGUUUGCCACCUGCAAGCACUUGUUGUGUACUUGAAGGCCCUGAGAAACUCAAAGGAAUACCUA